GACGAACGCUGGCGGCGUGCUUAACACAUGCAAGUCGAACGAGUGGCGAACGGGUGAGUAAUACGUGGGUAACCUGCCCUCCUUUUUGGGAUAAGCCUUGGAAACGGGGUCUAAUACCGGAUAGUGUGGGAUGGGCCAGCGGCCUAUCAGCUUGUUGGUGGGGUAAUGGCUACCAAGGCGCGACGGGUAGCCGGCCUGAGAGGGUGGACGGCAACACUGGGACUGAGACACGGCCCAGACUCCUACGGGAGGCAGCAGUGGGGAAUUUUGGACAAUGGGCGCAAUCCUGAUCCAGCCAUGCCGCUUGUCUGAAGAAGGCCUUCGGGUUGUAAAGGACUUUUGUUAGGGAGACGGUACCUGAAGAAUAAGCACCGGCUAACUACGUGCCAGCCGCCGCGGUAAUUC
rnacentral:rRNA from 1 species